UGGGGAAUAUUGGACAAUGGGCGAAAGCCUGAUCCAGCAAUGCCGCGUGUGUGAAGAAGGUCUUCGGAUUGUAAAGCACUUUAAGUUGGGAGGAAGGGCAGUAAGCGAAUACCUUGCGGUUUUGACGUUACCGACAGAAUAAGCACCGGCUAACUCUGUGCCAGCAGCCGCGGUAAUACAGAGGGUGCAAGCGUUAAUCGGAAUUACUGGGCGUAAAGCGCGCGUAGGUGGUUCGUUAAGUUGAAUGUGAAAGCCCCGGGGUCAACCUGGGAACGGCAUCCAAAACUGGCGAGAUAGCGUAGGGCAGAGGGUGGUGGAAUUUCAUGGGUAGCGGUGAAAUGCGUAGAUAUAGGAAGGAAAACCAGUGGCCAAGGCGACCACCUGGGCUCAUACUGACACUGAGGUGCGAAAGGGGGGGGAGCAAACAGG
rnacentral:rRNA from 1 species